ACCCCAAGGCUAAGGGUUGGUGAUUUUUCAAUCCGAGGAAGGAUCUUUCUUUCAUCUCCGAUCUUCCAUCGUCCAUUCAUGGAUGGAAGAACCAAUUUUUCUUUGCUUCUUCUUCAUUUCCUUGGGACUUUUCUUCACGCUGGGACGAUCCGAGAACUGGUCCCAAUGAGAAUGGUCGGGUGGAUACUGUCAAUCGAGAAGACUUCUUCCGACUAAAAG
rnacentral:lncRNA from 1 species